UCAAGCUAGUAAGGGUGCGUGGUGGAUGCCUAGGCGUCGAGAGGCGAUGAAGGACGUGAUAAGCUGCGAUAAGCUUCGGGUAGGCGCACAUAGCCAGAGAUCCGGAGAUUUCCGAAUGGGGAAACCCGCAUGAGAAACCUCAUGCAUCGUAAAGUGAAUACAUAGCUUUAUGAAGGAACACCUAGGGAACUGAAACAUCUAAGUACCUAGAGGAAGAGAAAGAAAAAUCGAUUUUCUUAGUAGCGGCGAGCGAAAAGGAAAGAGCCCAAACCAGAGAUUUAUCUCUGGGGUUGCGGACAGAACAUAACGUGAAAUUAUGAUUAACCGAACACAACUGGAAAGUUGGACCGUAGGAGGUAAUAGUCCUGUAAGUAAAAGUCAUAAUGAUCAGUUCUGCACCAGAGUACCACGAGACACGUGAAACCUUGUGGGAAGCAGGGAGGACCACCUCCCAAGGCUAAAUACUACCUGAUGACCGAUAGUGAAGCAGUACCGUGAGGGAAAGGUGAAAAGAACCCCGGGAGGGGAGUGAAAUAGAACCUGAAACCGUGUGCCUACAACCGGUCAAAGCCCCUUAUGAGGGUGAUGACGUGCUUUUUGUAGAACGAGCCAACGAGUUACGGUAUGUAGCAAGGUUAAGUACUUAAGGUACGGAGCCGAAGGGAAACCGAGUCUUAAUAGGGCGACUAGUUGCAUGCUGUAGACCCGAAACCGGGUGACCUAUCCAUGGCCAGGUUGAAGCGAGGGUAAAACCUCGUGGAGGACCGAACCACGUUGCUGUUGAAAAAGCAUGGGAUGAGCUGUGGAUAGCGGAGAAAUUCCAAUCGAACUCGGAUAUAGCUGGUUCUCCUCGAAAUAGCUUUAGGGCUAGCGUCGUGAAAUGUGAGUACUGGAGGUAGAGCACUGAAUAGGCUAGGGGGCAUAGCGCUUACCGAACCUUAUCAAACUCCGAAUGCCAGAUACUAUCAGCACGGCAGUCAGACUAUGAAAGAUAAGUUCCAUGGUCAAAAGGGAAACAGCCCAGAUCGUCAGCUAAGGUCCCAAAGUGUAAGUUAAGUGGAAAAGGAUGUGGGAUUUCUAAGACAACUAGGAUGUUGGCUUAGAAGCAGCCACUCAUUAAAAGAGUGCGUAAUAGCUCACUAGUCAAGAGAUCCUGCGCCGAAAAUGUCCGGGGCUCAAACUUACCACCGAAGCUACGGGUUCAUACUUUGUAUGAGCGGUAGAGGAGCGUCGUAAUCGGGCUGAAGUCGUACCGUAAGGAGCGGUGGACUGAUUACGAGUGAGAAUGUUGGCAUUAGUAGCGAGAUGUAGGUGAGAAUCCUACAGGCCGAAUAUCUAAGGUUUCCUGAGUAAAGUUUGUCUUCUCAGGGUUAGUCGGGACCUAAGGCGAGGCCGAGAGGCGUAGUCGAUGGACAAUUGGUUGAUAUUCCAAUACCACUAUAAUCGUUAUUAUCGAUGGUGUGACGGAGAAGGAUAGGAUGUGCCAGCUAUUGGAUGCUGGUCUAAGCGUUGAGGGAGUUAGAACAGGCAAAUCCGUUCUAACAAUCCUAGGGCGUGAUGGGGAAGGUUCCACGGAACCGAAGUAUCUGAUUUCAUGCUUCCAAGAAAAGCAUCUAGAAAGAGAAGUAGUGCCCGUACCGCAAACCGACACAGGUAGAUGAGGAGAGAAUCCUAAGGCCGACGGAAGAAUCACAGUUAAGGAACUAGGCAAAUUGACCCCGUAACUUCGGGAGAAGGGGUGCCUACCAUUUGGUAGGCCGCAGAGAAUAGGCACAAGCAACUGUUUAACAAAAACACAGGUCUCUGCUAAAGCGAAAGCUGAUGUAUAGGGGCUGACGCCUGCCCGGUGCUGGAAGGUUAAGGGGAUUGCUUAGCGCAAGCGAAGGCAUGAACUUAAGCCCCAGUAAACGGCGGCCGUAACUAUAACGGUCCUAAGGUAGCGAAAUUCCUUGUCAGGUAAGUUC
rnacentral:rRNA from 1 species